CGCAAUGCCCGAAAGGGUGACGAAGCGACGCCGCGUGUGGGAAGAAGGCCUUCGGGUUGUAAACCACUGUCGGGAGUUAAGAAAGGUAAGGAUGUUAAUAGUAUUCUUAUUUGACAAAGGCUCCGGAGGAAGCCACGGCUAACUCUGUGCCAGCAGCCGCGGUAAUACAGAGGCGGCAAGCGUUGUUCGGAAUUAUUGGGCGUAAAGAGCAUGUAGGCGGCUAUGUAAGUCGGUUGUGAAAGCCUUCCGCUUAACGGAAGAAUGGCGGCCGAAACUGCAUAGCUUGAGUGCGGUAGGGGAGAGUGGAACUUCUGGUGGAGCGGUGAAAUGCGUAGAUAUCAGAAGGAACGCCGGCGGCGAAAGCGACUCUCUGGGCCGUAACUGACGCUGAGUGUGCGAAAGCUAGGGGAGCAAACGGGAUUAGAUACCCCGGUAGUCCUAGCCGUAAACGAUGGGCACUAAGUAGAGGGGUUUU
rnacentral:rRNA from 1 species